AUUUCCAUUUAUAAACUUAUAAAUAUUAAGUAUAUGUAGUUUUAAAAUAAUCAAAUAAUUUUUAAAUACUAUUUAUAAAUUGAAAUUCCUAUAAAAAUAAAUUACCAGAAUAUUCAGAUACAUAAAAUAUUUUUAAAACAAAAAAUAUAUUUAUAAAAUUAUAUUAGUAUCACUUAUUUUUAGUUUCUAAUUAUAAAUAUAUUAUGUAUACCGCAGUUACAAUAUUCAUGAUAUAUGUCACCAUUCAUAUUUUGUUUUAAACCGUUUUUUUCGACGAACCGUACUUAUCCCACAGUAUGCAUUUUUCUAACACAAACCGUCACUAACUAAUCUGUUUGUCCCGAAUCGCCAAACCCGCUGUUACCGAUAGGAUAUGGGUAUCA
rnacentral:lncRNA from 1 species